GUGCUUGCUUCAACAGCAUGUAUACUAAAUUGGAAUGAUAUGGAGAUUAUGGCCCCUGCACAAGGAUGACAUGCAGAUUCCUGAAGCGUUCCAUAUUUUU
ensembl:snRNA U6 U6 spliceosomal RNA